CCUGAUGCAGCGACGCCGCGUGAGGGAUGACGGCCUUCGGGUUGUAAACCUCUUUCAGCAGGGAAGAAGCGAAAGUGACGGUACCUGCAGAAGAAGCACCGGCUAACUACGUGCCAGCAGCCGCGGUAAUACGUAGGGUGCGAGCGUUGUCCGGAAUUAUUGGGCGUAAAGAGCUCGUAGGCGGCGUGUCACGUCGGAUGUGAAAGCCCGGGGCUUAACCCUGGGUCUGCAUUCGAUACGGGCAGGCUAGAGUUCGGUAGGGGAGAUCGGAAUUCCUGGUGUAGCGGUGAAAUGCGCAGAUAUCAGGAGGAACACCGGUGGCGAAGGCGGAUCUCUGGGCCGAUACUGACGCUGAGGAGCGAAAGCAUGGGGAGCGAACAGGAUUAGAUACCCUGGUAGUCCAUGCCGUAAACGUUGGGCACUAGGUGUGGGCGACAUUCCACGUUGUCCGUGCCGCAGCUAACGCAUUAAGUGCCCCGCCUGGGGAGUACGGCCGCAAGGCUAAAACUCAA
rnacentral:rRNA from 1 species